rnacentral:rRNA from 1 species
GACGAACGCUGGCGGCGUGCUUAACACAUGCAAGUCGAACGAUGAACCAGAGCUUGCUCUGGGGAAUAGUGGCGAACGGGUGAGUAACACGUGGGCAACCUGCCCCAGACACCGGGAUAACCAUUCGAAAGGAUGGCUAAUACCGGAUAUGACCACUUCAGGCAUCUGAUGGUGGUGGAAAGGAUUCUGGUCUGGGAUGGGCCCGCGGCCUAUCAGCUUGUUGGUGGGGUAAUGGCCUACCAAGGCGACGACGGGUAGCCGGCCUGAGAGGGCGACCGGCCACACUGGGACUGAGACACGGCCCAGACUCCUACGGGAGGCAGCAGUGGGGAAUAUUGCGCAAUGGGCGAAAGUCUGACGCAGCGACGCCGCGUGAGGGACGAAGGUCUUCGGAUUGUAAACCUCUUUCAGCAGGGAUGAAGCGAAAGUGACAGUACCUGCAGAAGAAGCACCGGCUAACUACGUGCCAGCCGCCGCCGUAAGAC